GUUGCGUUUUUCAUACGUGCGUAUACGCACGUAAAACUUUAAAUCCGUUUUAAUGUUACUUAUGAAAUAACCAAAUAAAUAGAGCAACAGAAUUUAGUGUUCCGCAAGUUUUAGUAUGCAUUUGUUAACUUAUUUGUAAAAUAUUUAAAAAAUAGAAGGAUUCAAAGUUUUACGUGCGUGUACGUGCGUACGUAAAACGCAAC